GCCAUAUUGUUUCCAUAUAAAGUUUAUUUACAGUAUCUGUCUCUCUGAAGGGGAGUCUUGCUAACGCUGCCUAACUAGGUGCAAAAACAAAGCCAAUCACAGAGAGGAAUAACCUGCAGACAGAGAUGAGGAAAGUAGGGGAAGAUCUCCUAAACAGACUCAAGGGCUUACCUCAGGCAGAUAGCCCGCGUAUCGUAUCAUUUGCCAUCAUCAUUAUAUUUAUUGGGAUCGUGCUGCUGCUGCUUUCCCUCGGGUGCUGCUACCCAAUCUACACCCAGCACCGGAGAAGAACCCGAAGGCAUGAAGAUACAAUGCUAUAAAUGAGCGUCCCAGCACGGCCCUGCCAAAAGAACAUUCCGGCCUGCUGGGGGCGCUAACAUGGGAUAAUGCGCCUGUAUAAAGAUAAUUGCAAAUAAACGUUCAGCCAUAUUGUCGUGAA